rnacentral:rRNA from 1 species
UACAGAGGUCUCAAGCGUUGUUCGGAUUCAUUGGGCGUAAAGGGCGCGUAGGCGGCGGGGUAAGUCGGGUGUGAAAUCUCAGAGCUCAACUCUGAAACUGCACUCGAUACUGCUCUGCUUGAGGACUGGAGAGGAGACUGGAAUUCACGGUGUAGCAGUGAAAUGCGUAGAGAUGUGGAAGAACACCAGUGGCGAAGGCGGUUUUCUAGCUUACUCCUGACGCUGAGGCGCGAAAGCAAGGGGAUCAAACAGG